rnacentral:lncRNA from 1 species
UUCCUAUUACUACCACAAACCCAAAAGCAAAUACAAACAAUCUCUAAGCUAGAAUCUUGCACACCAAUUUCUAGAAAAUCCAAUCCGAUCGAUCAUAGCCGCAUCUCUACCACCACUACAGGGCCUUACAAAAUCCUAAUCAGACAAACCCAUAGCAUAUAACACCAUAGCCAUAUAAAAAAUUGUACUCCAUAAAAAUACAAGACCAAAAAAAUUCUAGCAAAACCACCAUUCACUAUUGCCAUCGAAACCAGUUAGGCUACCCUAAAUCGACUCUAUAACCACUACCCCCCAAGAGUUUUCCCCAGCAACCCAGUUCGAUCACCAUCUCUUGCCAAUAGCUGGUACCUAUUUUUUUCACCAUCACCACCAUUAGCCCACUAUCAAGCCAUGACCCUGGCCCUAUUAUCAAACCCUUAUUUAAACAACCACCUGUAAGCUAAU